AUUGAACGCUGGCGGCAGGCCUAACACAUGCCAGUCGAGCGGAUGAAGGGAGCUUGCUCCUGGAUUCAGCGGCGGACGGGUGAGUAAUGCCUAGGAAUCUGCCUGGUAGUGGGGGAUAACGUCCGGAAACGGGCGCUAAUACCGCAUACGUCCUGAGGGAGAAAGUGGGGGAUCUUCGGACCUCACGCUAUCAGAUGAGCCUAGGUCGGAUUAGCUAGUUGGUGGGGUAAAGGCCUACCAAGGCGACGAUCCGUAACUGGUCUGAGAGGAUGAUCAGUCCCACUGGAACUGAGACACGGUCCAGACUCCUACGGGAGGCAGCAGUGGGGAAUAUUGGACAAUGGGCGAAAGCCUGAUCCAGCCAUGCCGCGUGUGUGAAGAAGGUCUUCGGAUUGUAAAGCACUUUAAGUUGGGAGGAAGGGCAGUAAGUUAAUACCUUGCUGUUUUGACGUUACCAACAGAAUAAGCACCGGCUAACUUCGUG
rnacentral:rRNA from 1 species